CUUCCUACUUGCUGGUCGGUGGUGCUCCUGUUACCUCUUCAGAUGUGACUUACAGCACUGGCUUACAGUUGGCUGAAGAGAUCGGGCCUUUGCAAGAAUAGCCUCUAAACUCUGGAAUGAGUUGCCCCUACAAAAGGUCCCAACAAUGGCUAUUUUAAACCUUGUCUUACGAGUUGAUUAACCGCUGAAAUGAUUUUGGAAACAAUAUUUUAAGGUACGAAAAACUCUUUAGUGUUGCUUUAAAACUGCCACCUCCACACAGUAUCUCACACACAACAACUUGAAACCACAUACUUUCAAUUUCCGUUUGGUUGCAAAGGCAGAUGCAGGUGUGUGGGUGUCAGUUGGUCUUUGUUCCACUUAUGCACCCUCGUCAUUUACAACAUUCAUUCAUUUCCACUGGGUGAACUGCUCGGUGGUACAAGGUUAACUCGGUCAUCGAACCAGUGCUGCUAUGUCUGUAUCUGUGUCUGUAUCACCGGAGACUCUGCAGUCAUCUGUGGAGGUGCCUUCCUACUACUGCUGGUCUGUCUUCAAUAUAUGGUGUUGUUGUUGGCUACUUGGGAAACGGGCAAAGAAAUAUUCAGUAAAGACGGAGAGAUGCAUAGCAGAAGGAGAUCGGCAGGGAGCACAAGAAGCUUCUGAAACAGCUUUCAGCUUCAACCUGAAUGCACUGUUAGUUGGAUUGAUCUUCUGGACUUUAGUUGUGUGUGCCUUUGUAUUUCGGUUGGGCAAGUUUCACUGAUUCUACUGGAACAUUGCAUUGAAUCCCAUUGCCUUUAACCAUUUAAGUCUUUACAUAAGUUGAAACUAAAGCAAUAUAUGAAAAGGAAUGUUUGAAACAUGUGGUAAUAACCUCAGACCUAUGGGGGCAGCAGCAAGGGGAAUAGGUGUAGCUGGGACUGAGUGAAGGCCCAUACAUAUUAAAGGUGGCAAUGGCAUGCGCUCUGCUCUCCGCUAGGUUACGCUUGGUUGUGCUAUACUAUGACUCAAAGAUUUCUCUCAUGCUUGCCGGUCACCUUUUCUGACUCCAUAACCACUGUGACAGAGGAUAAGAAAGACCUUGAAGCACUGACUCCACCACAUUCUCCUUUUAAAAACUCAUCAUGCUUUCUCGUCUGGAUUGUUCCAGAAGACUGUACAUUAGAAGACGUUGGAAACAAGUUCAGUACUUGGCUGACUUGUUUUGGAAAAUAUGGAACUGGGAGUACCAUUAUUGCAAGAGAGACAGAAAUGGCUCACUGUGAAGAGAGGAUUCCAGAAAGGGGAUGUCGCAAUGUUGGUCGACAGCACAGCUCCGCAAGGAUCCUGGCCUCUGGGAAGAGUACUCGAAGUCCAUCCUUGUUCACAAGGUCUAACGAGAACUGUGACUCUUAAGACCAAGUCUGGAGUUUUGAUAAGACAAGUUGCAUGGUUAGAGAUAAAGUAUGUGUAUUUUCUAUAUUCUAAAUUUUAAAUAUUUGCUUACUGUAUAAAAUGAUAGCAUUUAUAGUACAGAAAUGGCUCCUUAUACAAUAUUUCUGUUGAUAAUGGAUGUUUAGUCACACAAUUAGGGACCAGUGUGUUGGAGCCAUUUAUUUUUUUUAUUAUUAUAAGAGCUCUAAAUAUAUUGAUAUAGAUUUAAGUUGAAAUUAUAUUAUCAUUCAAAUAAAUUAUUCUGUAUA